ensembl:miRNA
GACACGCAGGACGAGGCGGGCCUGGAGGUGCACCAGUUCUGGCCGCUGGUGGAGAUCCAGUGCUCGCCCGACCUCAAGUUC